rnacentral:lncRNA from 1 species
CAUUAAAUUUUAAAAGAACCCUUACAAUAUCUAAAUAGAUAUAGACAGAUGUGGUAUGAGUUCCAAUGAGACAACUCUCCAUCCAAAUAACAAUUUAUAAAAGUAAACCAUUAUAGGUCAAGGAACGGCCUUCAACACAGAGCCUUGGCUCACACCGAACAACAAGCUAUAAAGGGCCCCAAAAAUUACCAGUGUAAAACCAUGCAUUCAAUCGGGAAAACCAACGGUCUAAUCUAUAUAAAAAAAACGAGAAAUGAGAAACGUGUAUAAAUUACACAAACAAACGACAACUACUGUACAUCAGAUUCCUGACUCAGGACAGGUGCAAACAUUU